rnacentral:rRNA from 1 species
UACUGGUUGAUCCUGCCAGUAGUCAUAUGCUUGUCUCAGAGAUUAAGCCAUGCAUGUCCAAGUACAUACUUUUAAACAGUGAAACCGCGAAUGGCUCAUUAAAUCAGCUAUGGUUCCUUAGAUCAUACGCACGUUAUAUGGAUAACUGUAGUAAUUCUAGAGCUAAUACAUGCCUCGAUGCCCUGACCUGCGAAGGAAUGGGUGCAUUUAUUAGAACAGAACCAAUCGAGUGUGGCUUCGGCUAUGCUUGUUGUAAACUGUGAUGACUCUGGAUAACUUAAUUGAUCGCAGCGACUUUAAGUCGGCGACGUAUCUUUCAAAUAUCUGCCCUAUCAAUUGGAUGGUAAGUGACCUGCCUACCAUGAUUAUAACGGGUAACGGGGAAUCAGGGUUCGAUUCCGGAGAGGGAGCCUGAGAAAUGGCUACCACAUCUAAGGAUGGCAGCAGGCGCGAAAAUUACCCACUUUCGGCAAGGAGAGGUAGUGACGAAAAAUACGGAUGCGGGACUCUUUCGAGGCUCCGUAAUCCGAAUGAGUACAAUUUAAAACCUUUAACGAGGACCAAUUGGAGGGCAAGUCUGGUGCCAGCAGCCGCGGUAACUCCAGCUCCAAAAGCGUAUAUUAAAGUUGCUGCAGUUAAAAAGCUCGUAGUUGGAUCUGGGUGGUGUGAUUGCAUGCCGCUUCUCGUUCUCCCGAUUUGGUUACGAUCAGAGAGGGGGUUCGGGUCGGUGCAGUAGUUGUGCAGCCUUUCAGCCGUGUCUGUGUAAACAGGUGUCGAUGGGCCGUGGGUUAGCUCAUUGGUCUGUCGGCAUGUUUUUGGUGCCCUUAACCGGGUGUUGAGAACGGACGGCAUCUUUACUUUGAACAAAUUUGAGUGCUUAAAGCAGGCCACUGUGCCUGAAAAUUCUUGCAUGGAAUAAUGGAAUAGGACUUCGGUUCUAUUUUGUUGGUUUUCGGAUCCGAAGUAAUGGUUAAGAGGGACAGACGGGGGCAUUUGUAUGGCGGUGUUAGAGGUGAAAUUCUGAGAUCGCCGCCAGACAAACUACAGCGAAAGCAUUUGCCAAGAAUGUUUUCAUUGAUUAAGAGCGAAAGUCAGAGUUCCGAAGACGAUCAGAUACCGUCGUAGUUCUGACCAUAAACGAUGCCAACUGACGAUCCGUGGUGGUUCAAAAAAUGUCCCCGCGGGCAGUCUCCGGGAAACCCUUAAGUUUUUGGGCUCCGGGGGAAGUAUGGUUGCAAAGCUGAAACUUAAAGGAAUUGACGGAAGGGCACCACCAGGAGUGGAGCCUGCGGCUUAAUUCGACUCAACACGGGAAAACUCACCCGGCCCGGACACUGUGAGGAUUGACAGAUUGAUAGCUCUUUCUUGAUUCGGUGGUUGGUGGUGCAUGGCCGUUCUUAGUUGGUGGAGCGAUUUGUCUGGUUAAUUCCGAUAACGAACGAGACUUUAACCUAUUAAAUAGUACGCUCGUCCUCUGUGCUCGUUUAGGUUGUGGCUUGUACUGCUUCCACGUGAAGUGGUCGGGUCAUUGGCCGGCGGGUGCGGUGCGGGUGUUUACUUCUUAGAGGGACAAGCGGCGUCCUAAAUAGCCGCACGAAAUUGAGCAAUAACAGGUCUGUGAUGCCCUUAGAUGUCCGGGGCUGCACGUGCGCUACAAUGACGGUGGCAGCGAGUAUGGAAACCUGGCCUGAAAGGGCUGGGCAAACUGUUUCAUCACCGUCGUGACUGGGAUUGGGGCUUGUAAUUGUUCCCCAUGAACGAGGAAUUCCUGGUAAGUGCAAGUCAUAAGCUUGCGCUGAUUACGUCCCUGCCCUUUGUACACACCGCCCGUCGCUACUACCGAUUGAAUGGUUUAGUGAAGUUGUUGGAUUGGCCCAUUGUUUCGGCAAUUGUCGUUCCAUUGGUGCUAAAAAGAUGACUGAACUUGACUAUUAGAGGAAGUAAAAGUCGUAACAGA